UGGGGAAUAUUGGGCAAUGGGCGCAAGCCUGACCCAGCAACGCCGCGUGAAGGAAGAAGGCUUUCGGGUUGUAAACUUCUCUUCUUGGGGACGAAGAAAGUGACGGUACCCAAGGAAUAAGCCACGGCUAACUACGUGCCAGCAGCCGCGGUAAUACGUAGGUGGCAAGCGUUAUCCGGAUUUAUUGGGUGUAAAGGGCGUGUAGGCGGGAAUGCAAGUCAGAUGUGAAAAGCUAUGGGCUCAACCCAUAGCCUGCAUUUGAAACCUGUAUUUCUUGAGUGCUGGAGAGGCAAUCGGAAUUCCGUGUGUAGCGGUGAAAUGCGUAGAUAUACGGAGGAACACCAGUGGCGAAGGCGGAUUGCUGGACAGUAACUGACGCUGAGGCGCGAAAGCGUGGGGAGCAAACAGGAUUAGAUACC
rnacentral:rRNA from 1 species